rnacentral:rRNA from 1 species
GAGUGAGAGGGAAGAGCCCAAGAUUGAAAGCUGGCGCCUUCGGCGUCCGCAUUGUAAUCUCAAGAAGUGUUUUCCGCUUCGGACCAUGCCUAAGUCCCUUGGAAAAGGGCAUCAUAGAGGGUGAUAAUCCCGUACAUGGCAUGGAGCGCCCGAAGCUUUGUGAUACGCUUUCUAAGAGUCGAGUUGUUUGGGAAUGCAGCUCAAAAUGGGUGGUAAAUGCCAUCUAAGGCUAAAUAUUGGGGAGAGACCGAUAGCGAACAAGUACAGUGAUGGAAAGAUGAAAAGAACUUUGAAAAGAGAGUUAAACAGUACGUGAAAUUGCCAAAAGGGAAGGGUAGGAGGUCAGAGAUGCGUCGCAGGAUUCAGCCUUGCUUUUGCUUGGUGUUUUUCCUGCGUUGCAGGCCAACGUCGGUUUUGGGCACUGGAGAAGGGUAGGAGGAACGUGGCACCUCUCGGGGUGUGUUAUAGCCUCCUACUGGAUACAGCGACCGAGACCGAGGAACGCAGCGUACUCGUAAGAGCGGGCCUUUUGGCACCUUUACGCUUAGGGCGUUGGCAUAAUGGCCCUCUACCACCCGUCUUG